rnacentral:misc_RNA from 1 species
CCGUUGGUGAACCAGCGGAGGGAUCAUUACCGAGUGCAAACUCAUAACCCUUUGUGAACCUAUAUCUGUUGCUUCGGCGGCUCGUUCUCGGGCGAGCCCGCCGGUAAUAUCAGUAUCUCUGUUUGAACCCGACGAUACUUCUGAGUGUUCUUAGCGAACAGUUAAAACUUUUAACAACGGAUCUCUUGGCUCUA